rnacentral:rRNA from 1 species
AAAUGAAUAGACGGGGACCCGCACAAGCAGUGGAGCAUGUGGUUUAAUUCGAAGCAACGCGAAGAACCUUACCAGGUCUUGACAUCCCUCUGAAUACGCCAGAGAUGGGGUAGGCCCUUCGGGGACAGAGGAGACAGGUGGUGCAUGGUUGUCGUCAGCUCGUGUCGUGAGAUGUUGGGUUAAGUCCCGCAACGAGCGCAACCCUUAGGUCUAGUUGCCAGCACUUCGGGUGGGCACUCUAGAGCGACUGCCGGUGACAAACCGGAGGAAGGCGGGGAUGACGUCAAAUCAUCAUGCCCCUUAUGACCUGGGCUACACACGUGCUACAAUGGCCGGUACAAAGGGCAGCGAAGCCGCGAGGCGGAGCCAAUCCCAAAAAGCCGGUCUCAGUUCGGAUUGCAGGCUGCAACUCGCCUGCAUGAAGUCGGAAUUGCUAGUAAUCGCGGAUCAGCAUGCCGCGGUGAAUACGUUCCCGGGUCUUGUACACACCGCCCGU